UACGUAGGGGGCAAGCGUUGUCCGGAUUUAUUGGGCGUAAAGAGCGUGUAGGCGGCCAGACAGGUCCGUUGUGAAAACUCGAGGCUCAACCUCGAGACGCCGAUGGAAACCGUCUGGCUAGAGUCCGGAAGAGGAGAGUGGAAUUCCUGGUGUAGCGGUGAAAUGCGCAGAUAUCAGGAAGAACACCCGUGGCUAAGGCGGCUCUCUGGGACGGUACUGACGCUGAGACGCGAAAGCGUGGGGAGCGAACAGG
rnacentral:rRNA from 1 species